AGCGGCGUCGCCAAGUGGUUAAGGCUGAGGUCGGCAAAACCUUUAUACAUCGGUUCGAUUCCGGUCGUCGCUC
rnacentral:tRNA from 1 species